GCUGGGCGUGGUGGCGCACACCUGUAAUCCCAGUAACUCAGGAGUCUGAGGCCUGAGGAUUGUGAGCUCAAACCUAGCUUCAGCAACUUAGGGAGGCCCUAUGCAAUUCAUCAAGACCCUGUCUCUA
rnacentral:sRNA from 1 species